rnacentral:tRNA from 1 species
UUUAAUAUGGCAGAUAAAAUGCAAAGGAUUUAAAUUCCUUAUGUAAAAAGAUUAACUCUUUUAUUAAAA